UUUUAUUUCAAAUCUGGCAACAUAUUUAAUGUGUUCUGUUUAUUCUGAAUUUUCUGCAGAAUGUGGUCGUCUACAGAACGUGAGAAGCAGAAUACAACAAGAAUUUUCUUCAGAACAUGAUCAACUAGAGCAGGAGAAGAGCAGAAUACAACAAGAAAUGAAAACGGGAAAAGAGGACAAGUGAUGCUACAGUCAGAAAAAGAAGAUGGAAAUAAACAGAAGGAUUUUUACACGGUAAAGUGCGCUUCACGGUGAG